GACGAACCGAGCGAACGUUGUUCGGAAUCACUGGGCUUAAAGGGCGCGUAGGCGGGCUGUCAAGUCUGGGGUGAAAUCCCACGGCUCAACCGUGGAACUGCCUCAGAUACUGACGGUCUCGAGGGAGGUAGGGGCGAGCGGAACUGAUGGUGGAGCGGUGAAAUGCGUUGAUAUCAUCAGGAACUCCGGUGGCGAAGGCGGCUCGCUGGACCUUUUCUGACGCUGAGGCGCGAAAGCUAGGGGAGCAAACGGG
rnacentral:rRNA from 1 species